rnacentral:tRNA from 1 species
AGUUAAUAACUUCAGAAAAGUCUAGUGUUUUGAAAGCACUUCUUAGAGGUUUAAGUCCUCUAUUAACUU